rnacentral:rRNA from 1 species
UACGAAGGGGGCUAGCGUUGCUCGGAAUCACUGGGCGUAAAGGGUGCGUAGGCGGGUCUUUAAGUCAGGGGUGAAAUCCUGGAGCUCAACUCCAGAACUGCCUUUGAUACUGAGGAUCUUGAGUUCGGGAGAGGUGAGUGGAACUGCGAGUGUAGAGGUGAAAUUCGUAGAUAUUCGGAAGAACACCAGCGGCGAAGGCGACUUACUGGACACAUAUUGACGCUGAGGUGCGAAAGCGUGGGGAGCAGACAGG